UGUUGUGUGGCACGGUAAGGUGCCUUCGUUCACAGCUAACCGAAAGUAGCGAAUCUGUGCGAAGGUCUGCAUGUGUCACUGAGUAAGUAGUUUACAUGAAGCUGAGUGAAAAUAAGAAACCAAAAUAGAGUCGCUAAUGUAGCGCGAGUGAAGUGCCAUGGCGGGAAAAUGGAGACACUUAAAAAAGUAUUCAUCUUGCAGCGGUUGUAGCGUCCAAAGGCAAAUAUUGCGCCUAUAGCCGUGUCUUCUCUGCCGGAGAGUCCCUGCCAUUGCGGCGACCACCAUCAGGUUCCUUGUUUUUGCCGCCGUCGUCGACAGAAUGAAAACGAUUGCCAUCGACAAUACGCGAAGCUGCUUGCGGGUCACUUCGCGCUAGAAGAUGCUCUGACGAUCGACAGGAUACUGACAGGGUGCGGCGAUAUGCCUGCUAUUGCUACACGUUCUAGUUUGCUUUACCCUUACAGUAAUCGCCGGGUGGAACGACCUAAGCCGUGAAAAUUACCUCUUAUUAAUCUCUCAGGGAGAAAAAGGACCUUCACAGGACGAGAAGUGCUAGAAUUAAUGCGAUAACGGGCGCGUAAAUGCCCUAAGCUUAAGCGAUGGCUUCGACAGGUGGCGUCAAGCAGCUUUUGUGAGCGCCGACGCCACGUUAAUCGAGCAAAAAAACGAAGGAUAGAAUAAGCGAUAACUAAAAUUAUCACCAUUACGACCACUGCUGUUAUCGGUCUUAUACAUCCGGGUGACGACACUACUGAUAUCGUCACAGAUUACUGGAUGUUAUCAAGGAGAUCCAUGGCUUUCACAGGACGGAAAAAUUUGGCCCUCACCAUUAUUAUAAUGAUCAUAGCCAUGGUCACCUCCUCAUUCUGUUUGAAGCCUAUGAUGAUAUUUAACGUCUGUCUGUCUGUGCUAGUGAGAUUAUUGACGCAGGUAGAAGGUUCUCACGUAGAAAUGUGCUGUGUAGCUUGAUAUAGGAAAAAAAGCGUUAAACACGGAGAUGAAUAGAAAAAAACUUCGCCCCGGACGGUGAACUGGCAAUCUGAUGCUUGCAGAUUUGUCGUGAAUGAUCAUAGCGUAGGAAAUUUUGUUUCUAUUCUCAGUGAAACGUCAUUCCCAAGAUGAAUGAUGUCGAGAUGAUCGAUAUCGCAGCGGGUGUACAAAUGUGUAGCUAAACAGCCAGGCAAAAUUUAUUAGUUCGAUUGUGUUGAUAUUUGGAUAUUGUAAGUUACUUUUGUGAUACACUAAUCUUGUUUAGCUUUCUUGUUCGCUACCUUUUGUACGGGGAUGCUGGGCAGAAUGCAGGUCAGAAUGUAUAUAAAAAUAUACAGCGUAUACAAUGUCAGUCUUAAAUUACGAUAUGAGAAAUGACAUGGUCAAGGAAACGAGGACAUGCGGAAUCAAGAUGUUAGAUACAUUUUAAUAUGCUAGAGUAUUGGAAAAAAUACAAACUCAUUUGUAUUUCGUUGACACAGUGACUUUAUGGGGUACAUGUAUUAUUCUACAUGUGAGACGCUCGAAAGCCAAACGUUCCCGAUGUAGCACUAUAUAGAAGCUACAUGGAAGGAAACAAAAGUGUCUAAAUUCUCUUAACAGGAAUAUCGUGCCCUGAUGCUCCUAUGAUGUGUACUAUCUGAAAAUGAAAAAUUACGGAACUUCAAAUUGUUUUGCUUGCCUCCUAGUCUUCAUUCAAGAAUAGAGCUUAGUUACUGGCUUUCCACUCUGUUGAGAAAGGUAAUUUCAAUACAUUUCAUCGGCCUUGUGUUUCACCGUUUAUCUAUGCCGACAGGUUAGGUCAGGCAUAUGUUUGGAGUUACUGCUGCCCACGUUGACGCCUUCUCUUCCCGCAGUCCGAUAGUGUUUUCUUUUUUAUAUUCUUACGUAACACAAAAGCAGCAAUCUAUGGGGCAAGUUUUUAACCCGCAUGGGCUUGUUUUAGCGACCUCUAACAAGCAAUGAUAAGCAGUAGAUAUCCUAUCGUUUUCUCUCUGGUUAAUUGUUUCCGCUGCUCUAAACCAAAUCUCGAUCGGCUGAUUACAGGAAUUGCUGUCUUAUUUGCUCUUAUUUGCAAAAAUCUUAUUUGCUCAGUUGGGCGGCCACUGCAGUAGCACGGCGCGCAGAGAUAUUAUAGGGCUGAUUAGGGCAACGGCAAUGGCAACAGCUGUCAAAGCAUCAGCGGCAGCAAAAUUCGAUGAUAUUGCCCGACAUCGAGGUUCUUAAUUCUGCUGAAGUAAAUGGUAAACUCCGACGCUGGGCUCUUUUCAUCUUCCGUUUAUCAUACACUCCCGACCUCCUGGCUCGUUUCGACUUGGCACGAAUGGAAAGGCGAAGGAUGACUACUAUUGGUAUAUUAACGACGAGUGUCAACCAAAGCCGUUAGGACACCAUCGGAACGCCUUUAACGGAAAGAAGAUUAGGUCAAACGUCGUUAUAUAGUGCAAGAACGAAGCACGGCCGCAAAAGUUGGAUCUUUGAAGGAAUCACUUUUCGUAUGGCCUUCUGUGUGAAAUACCGUAUGUAGUUGUAUCAUACGUUGUGAUAGUAAGAGAAAUCUAGAUACGAACAAAUCUACCACGCAGCAGUAAAAACACUGUCUAUGCAGAUGCAGCGGCAGGAGCAUCUCUGCGCUCACAUCCGUUAAACGAAACGAGCUUUUAUACUUUGACUGGAAGUGAUUGUUGUCAUUAGUGUUGUUAUUAGUUCUAGUGCUCUGUCAGUAUUACGUUGCGUUAACAAGAUAGCAACCAAAGGAACAACAAGGAAACCAAGAAGAUGCCUUGUUCCCGCAGAACGAGGGAUUCUUCUUGUUGUUCCCGUUGCAAACUGAACGGGAUAGAUCCUUUCGGGAAGGGAAACAUAGUGUGACCAGCGAAAGCUGAUUUGGGACCAAGUAGAUAAAAAUAAAAAAAAAAACGUCCGCUAUCCGAAACAAUUAUAGCAGCAACAGCUGCAGCAGGAGAAGUGGAGCCUCUGCGCCAACCGCGGUUACGUCGGAACCGCGACAAUGACACACGACACCGCUACAGCGUUCGCUAGCUGAUGUAGAUGUCUUGCCUAUCAUUGUCAGAAACGCUGGAGCAGACAGGAGAAGUAGUAGAGAAAACAAGGACGCUACGUUAAUAUAGGCCAGUGAGUACUGCUACUGCACAACGUAGUAUGAGUAACUCCCACUUUAGCGCCAGUCGAUUGUCAGAGCAGCCGCCGAAGGCCGAACUCCGACGGCUUAACUGGGUCCAUGAAGCUGCAACGACAACCCCCCGGGGUAACGGGGGACGGCGAACGAAAUCGCAAGCCAAAUGGUCAUUGUCCUAGAUGUGCAGAAAGGGUUGGCUGUAGCAACGGUUGCAACGAUAGCCCCGCAAGAUGGACUCAUCGGCGACAGUAACAAGAAAAGACAAGGAAAAACGACACAAAUCUGCAAAACAAAAAAGAGAUAACAGCGGCAGAAGUAAGGGCGUACGUUUCAGUAGACAGAACAGAAGACUGGGUAGUGAGUUGCGCGGAGUAAAAAUCGGAGGUUUAAGCUGGUAAAGCAAGUUGGCAAAAAGGCGUAAGAAAUAACGUAAAUCGGUCGCAAGACUAGAAACAACUGGCAGACGAAAGACCGCCGUAGUUCUGAUAGCGAGUGGUAGUGAACUUUGAUACUAGUUGCGGUAAAGAUAGUAUUGGGUCGCUAAUAUAUGGGUCAAAGAAGAACUUAAGAUAAGCGUGUAUCGAAUGAACAUACCAAGUAUUGACUAGCGGUGCCAUGGAUAAAUGAUCAUAGUCAGCAAAAACACAGCGCUUGGCGAUAAUUGGAAGAUAUUUCCAAUGCAGGUCAGGCGGCUCCAGGACGAUCUUGCAGUCCACUCGACCGGCAUCAGCAACAAUGGCGUCUUUACUGCGGCUAGGAACAAUUCUGCCGACGGCGGAUGGGAAUCGCAGCGUCACCUUUCCGAAUGAUUACCAGUUAAGCCACUGAGAGGAUUAGUACAAAGCUAAAGAGAUGGACACGUGGCCACGGUCACGAUCAAGGGCCCGCUGUUGUUAAUGAUCAUGACAUUAGCUCCGUCGUUCUGUAGCUUGCAAGCUGUUGCUUCAGUUUAGCACGGAUCUCUACCUACGUUCCAAUAAAAAUUGCUAAGGAAAAAAUAGCGUAAUAAAUUGCAGAGAUGAGUUUUUUUUUUUUAAUUCUUAUCAAAAACUGUA